GACUGUCGGAAGUAGCGUUAGCUUAUGUUCUAACGUUAGCUUGUAUAUUAGCUCUGACUGGCUGGCAGCAACUAAUUCAAUAUUACUACUUACUAAACCCUGCCUGUAUAUUGGUUUUGGGUUUGGGUGUGUUUUGUUUUGCAGGAACAAAGGGGUGGAGCUGUGUUGGCAUCAAUGCAGCACACCUGUGCUGAAGAGGUGAGCUGUAUUAAAGGGCCCUGCAGUCCUCUGUGUGCCUGUUGCGGACUCUCAGGCACUCAUUUAUACCUAUUGGCUGGUUUGUGACAAAAUGGGGUCUCGUCCAGCUGUUUUGUUGGCAAGUUUGGUUUGACGCCAUUUUGGUGAUUUGUUGCUGGACCGUGCUAGUGUUUGUUAUGUCUCUUAUAUUGUUUAAGGCUAACCUCAGCUCUUUACAUAUAGUGAUUUUUUUCUCAGGUUGAUUGUUUGUGAUUUGUGCUUUGGGUUUGGGGAGGCUGCGGCGGUUCAGGGUGUUUUUUGGCUUGUUUAAAGAUGAUUUCUGUGGUUUAAAGGUAUCCUGUUUGUACUAAUUUAAAAUUAGUUUUAAGACUCUUAGUGGCUGAAUGUUUCAUUCGUAGUGAUAGUGUGAUUAGCUGCACACGUGAGAACUGGCAUUUCCCUGGUAGGCUGUAGGAACAUUUCCUCUUUAGGCAUUUGUUCAGAAGCCUCGAAGUGCUGCAGUGAAAAUGGUUGGAGCAGUGGUUUUGGGGGCACGUCCAUAUAAUUGGGGUGGUCGCUGUUUUUACAGUUGCCUUUCUCACUCUAUUGGGUUUUAGUGGGUAAGUACUUACUGUACAGUAAGUAACUGCAUGUAGACUAGGGUUGAGUUUGUAGUGAGUGUAAGUUUUUUUCUAAUAGGUAGUUAGCAGGGAACUUUCUAGUUUUGGUGCAGACAUGGUCAACACUGUCCUAUAAUGGCCUCUACUGGAAGGUUUAGUCAGUCUCCAUCAGAGGAACUGUUGAGUAGUUGCUUAAAGGGACAACUGUUAAAGCUUGUUGAGCAUUGUGGUGUAGAAGUUGGGAGUAAACAUCUUAAGUAUGAUAUCAGAGAUGUGGUAAAGUGUGCUUUAGUAAAGCAAGGCAUUUUACCAGCUGUUGUUCAGGGAGUGGAGGAGUCUGCCAAAUUAUCUGAUUAGGUUCCAAACCCAGGUUUGACUUCUGAGCAACAAAAAUAACUUUUACUGCUACAAAUGGAGAGGGAUAAGUUGCACAUAGAGCAGGAGAGAAUAAAACAUGCAUUUGAGAGGGAAAAAAUAGAGGUGGAGCAGUAUUUAUUAGAUUUAAUUAAAGGGCUCAUAUCAUGCAAAAUCCACUUUUUAGACAUUUUGGAGCGUUCCUAUGACUCUAUGGGUCACAUAUACACACACUGAGCACGGUAGAAAUGCAUUUCCUGCUUUUUUCACAUUUUGAAAACGUAAAUUCUCUCAUCCUACUGUUCUGAGGCCGUUCCCCAGGUUUCGUCACAGUGGUUGAAAGUUCUCCCUGCAAAUCCUGAACCACCACCCCCACAAUGAUCCCGAACCAAAACUGGACUUCCGCCAUUUCCCUCCUCUCACUCACCGUGAACAGACCAGCACGGCAGCGCCCAAGUCCUCCCAUAGAAAUAGUUCGGUUCUUAGGUGUUCUAACCAACACCAAAGUCUAUUCACUUUACCAAGGGAUCAACAAGUGAGGACUUUGUGGGUCACUUUUAUUUUUAACGGACCGGUGCCAGAAACAUUGCCUCAGCAUUUAUACGUAUGUGCAUUUCAAACAAGGGUGCGUACAAUGCUGGAUUUGUUUCACGGCUCCUGUUGGAAAAAAAUGAUCUAUUUCUACAGUCCGUCAUCCACUCACUGAAGGAGGCACAUCCCAGUUACCUACAUGCAAGGAGGCUGUGAAACAGAGAAAUCACUGCAGACUGUUGGUACACAGACAUCUGCUGCCCAGCUCAGGAGUAAAGUACCUUUUGUUUUGAUGAGGUGAUGGUGAGGACAGCCACAGAUUGCAUCUGGUAGAGGACUGCUUCCGCUCAGUCUUCCAAAUAGUGAUGAGAACAAGGAUCACCACAUCUCCCUGUUUACCCUACUUUCAUGCAUUUCGUCUGCAAGGCCCUGCAAAAGCUUCUGUUCUCAAACCCCCAGACUUCUUAAUUAACUCAGUAACCUAUACAUUGCACAUUGGAGUGUGAAGGUAACAGUUUGUUCUAGCUUUGGAGUAGUGGUGUAUUUUUUUGGUUUACAAUAAAGUUGGCUUUAACUAUUAUGUAUUUCACUAAACUCUGUUUCUGAAGGUAAAACACUUUUAUUUAGGACAGCAUAGUAUUGAAAUUACAUUGUUCUCUUUCUAAUAUGGUAAGCUAUAAAGUUGAAGCAGCCAUAAAUAAAAAGCAUAUAAAUUAUAUAUAAAUAAAAUAAAAAAAAUUCUUAAUGAGUGUUGCACUCACAAAAAACACAUUUUUACUCAAAUGGUAAAGGAGUUAUUCCACAGGUGGUCUACAUCAAUCAUACUGAGUGUUUUAGUGUUUUAUCCAUCAGGAAACUGCCUUCAUCUACAACCCAAGCAUGAAGAGAUGGCAACUCAGAUUCUUCACCCCAGGAAUCUUUAGCACCAGCUCACUAGCCUCUGUAGACUAGAUACCAGUA